GGAUCUGUAGUAUCUACUUGUAUAACUGUGUAAUUCUAGAGCUAAACAUGCCCAAGCUCCAACCUCUGGCUGGAGCGCAUUUAUUAGACAAAACCAAUCGGCUUCGCCGUUCGUUUGGUGAAUCUGAAUAACUCAUCUGAUCGCAGGUCUUUGCACCGACGACGCAUCUUUCAAGUGUCUGCCUUAUCAACUUUCGAUGGUAGUUUACACGCCUACCAUGGUUGUAACGGGUAACGGAGAAUCAGGGUUCGACUCCGGAGAGGGAGCCUGAGAAACGGCUACCACAUCCAAGGAAGGCAGCAGGCGCGCAAAUUACCCAAUAUCAGCAACGAUGAGGUAGUGACGAAAAAUAACGAGAUGGUUCUCUAUGAGGUCCAUCAUCGGAAUGGGUACAAUUUAAACCCUUUAACGAGGAUCUAUUGGAGGGCAAGUCUGGUGCCAGCAGCCGCGGUAAUUCCAGCUCCAAUAGCGUAUAUUAAAGUUGUUGCGGUUAAAAAGCUCGUAGUUGACUUUGCGUCCUUGCGCUCCAGUCUCCCGCUGGGUAUGACUGGCUUCGCAGGACUACCUCGCUGGUUUUCCCCUGGUCCUCUUCACUGAGUGCCUUGGGGUGACCAGCAAGUUUACUUUGAAAAAAUUAGAGUGCUCAUAGCAGGGGUGCACGAAUAUGGUGCAUGAAAAGGAAUAGGACUAGUUAUUGUUUUUCGACCUGAGGUAAGUUAAGAGGGACGAUGGGCAUU
rnacentral:rRNA from 1 species